rnacentral:rRNA from 1 species
UACGAAGGGGGCUAGCGUUGCUCGGAAUCACUGGGCGUAAAGGGUGCGUAGGCGGGUCUUUAAGUCAGGGGUGAAUCCUGGAGCUCAACUCCAGAACUGCCUUUGAUACUGAAGAUCUUGAGUUCGGGAGAGGUGAGUGGAACUGCGAGUGUAGAGGUGAAAUUCGUAGAUAUUGGGAAGAACACCGGUGGCGAAGGCGGCGCUCUGGACCGAGACUGACGCUGAGGCGCGAAAGCGUGGGGAGCAAACAGGGAUUAAGAU